UGAACGGCCACAUUGGGACUGAGAUACGGCCCAGACUCCUACGGGAGGCAGCAGUCGGGAAUAUUGCGCAAUGGAGGAAACUCUGACGCAGUGACGCCGCGUAUAGGAAGAAGGUUUUCGGAUUGUAAACUAUUGUCGUUAGGGAAGAUACAAGACAGUACCUAAGGAGGAAGCUCCGGCUAACUACGUGCCAGCAGCCGCGGUAAUACGUAGGGAGCAAGCGUUAUCCGGAUUUAUUGGGUGUAAAGGGUGCGUAGACGGGAAAGCAAGUUAGUUGUGAAAUCCCUCGGCUUAACUGAGGAACUGCAACUAAAACUACUUUUCUUGAGUGUUGGAGAGGAAAGUGGAAUUCCUAGUGUAGCGGUGAAAUGCGUAGAUAUUAGGAGGAACACCGGUGGCGAAGGCGACUUUCUGGACAAUAACUGACGUUGAGGCACGAAAGUGUGGGGAGCAAACAGGAUUAGAUACCCUGGUAGUCCACACCGUAAACGAUGGAUACUAGGUGUAGGGAACAUUAAGUUUUCUGUGCCGUCGCAAACGCAAUAAGUAUCCCACCUGGGGAGUACGGCCGCAAGGUUGAAACUCAAAGGAAUUGACGGGGGCCCGCACAAGCAGUGGAGUAUGUGGUUUAAUUCGACGCAACGCGAAGAACCUUACCAGGGCUUGACAUACAGAUGAAUAUACUAGAGAUAGUAUAGCUCUUCGGAGCAUCUGUACAGGUGGUGCAUGGUUGUCGUCAGCUCGUGUCGUGAGAUGUUAGGUUAAGUCCUGCAACGAGCGCAACCCCUGUGAUUAGUUGCCAACAGGUAAAGCUGGGAACUCUAAUCAGACUGCCGGUGAUAAAUCGGAGGAAGGUGGGGAUGACGUCAAAUCAUCAUGCCCUUUAUGUCCUGGGCUACACACGUACUACAAUGGCUGUAACAGAGAGAAGCAAAACAGUGAUGUUGAGCAAAACUUUAAAAAGCAGUCUCAGUUCGGAUUGAAGGCUGAAAUUCGCCUUCAUGAAGCCGGAAUUGCUAGUAAUGGCAGGUCAGCAUACUGCCGUGAAUACGUUCCCGGGCCUUGUACACACCGCCCGUCACACCAUGAGAGUUGGGGAUACCCGAAGCCUGUGAGCCAACUAUUUACUUAGAGGCAGCAGUCGAAGGUAGAAUCAAUGAUUGGGGUGAAGUCGUAACAAGGUAGCCGUAUCAGAAGGUGCGGCUG
rnacentral:rRNA from 1 species